ACCCAACUGAUGAGUCCCAAACGGGACGAAACGCGCGUCCCAGAU
rnacentral:hammerhead_ribozyme from 1 species